UACCGAGGUCUCAAGCGUUGUUCGGAUUCAUUGGGCGUAAAGGGCGCGUAGGCGGCCGCCUAAGUCAGACGUGAAAUCCCUCGGCUUAACCGGGGAACUGCGUCUGAUACUGGAUGGCUGGAGUUUGGGAGAGGGAUGCGGAAUUCCAGGUGUAGCGGUGAAAUGCGUAGAUAUCUGGAGGAACACCGGUGGCGAAGGCGGCAUCCUGGACCAACACUGACGCUGAGGAGCGAAAGCCAGGGGAGCAAACGGG
rnacentral:rRNA from 1 species